AGCAGUCGCCGCGGUAAAACGAAGGGUGCAAGCGUUAAUCGGAAUUACUGGGCGUAAAGCGUGCGUAGGCGGUGAGUUAAGUCUGCUGUGAAAUCCCCGGGCUCAACCUGGGAAUGGCAGUGGAUACUGGCUCGCUAGAGUGUGUCAGAGGAUGGUGGAAUUCCUGGUGUAGCGGUGAAAUUCGUAGAUAUUCGGAAGAACACCGGUGGCGAAGGCGGCUUACUGGCUCAUACUGGACGCUGAGGCGCGAAAGCGUGGGGAGCAAACAGGAUUAGAUACCCCCGUAGUCCCUGUCUCUUAUAC
rnacentral:rRNA from 1 species